rnacentral:lncRNA from 1 species
GCAUUUGGGUACCUGACUCUACAGCUUGGUUUUAAGCCCUAUCUUGAAAGAGCCCAAAUUGCUGCUGACCAGUCUGAGCUCUCUUCUUCCUCAGAGCAACAACAACAAGAACAAGAACAACCCAACUCGAGCUCAACCCGCCAUUUCUAAGUGAAUGGGCCAGCGAGGAAAAUGGACAAAUAACGAGGCGGCAGCUGUAUAGUCCCCCUGAUGAUGAUUGUGAGUCUCAUUUGUACCAGUCUCCAAUGCUUUUCAGACAGUUUUGUAUGAAUUUUCCUUAAUUGAGCAGUGUGUGAGUGAGGGGAAUUCGAAUCUGGUGCAUUGAAGUAGAAUUGCUAACAUAUAUGUAUAAUUACUGAAUCCCAGUUGUAGACAAUACUUAAUGGAUGGCACUGCAUGAGAUGGAUUGGAGGCAUGGCAAAACAUGGCAUUUAUGUAUUAUGUUUUUUGUUGGCGAGAAACUAAUAGGUAGGUUAUAAUAAAAUUCAAAUGGUUAAAUGGUUUAGCCAAUUAAAUGGGAAACCCCUUUUUCGCACUUAAGGUUUAAGGUAAUGGGGACCCUCGCACUCGACCCUUGGGGUGGACUCGGUUUUUGUUACUAACUGCUAACCGAACCGAUGGCUUUCCUUUUCCAUUUGAGUUAUCGAUGGAGGCAGUACUAG